rnacentral:rRNA from 1 species
UUUCGAAUCAUUCACAAUGGGGGAAACCCUGAUGGUGCGACGCCGCGUGGAGGAUGAAGGUCUUCGGAUUGUAAACUCCUGUCAAGGGGGACUAACCACACGGUUCAUAGCCGUGUCUGCAUUAACCCCUAGAGGAAGCAGUGGCUAACUCUGUGCCAGCAGCCGCGGUAAUACAGAGACUGCAAGCGUUACUCGGAUUCACUGGGCGUAAAGGGAGCGCAGGCGGAAUCGUGUGUCGGAUGUGAAACCCGGGGGCUCAACUCCCGGACUGCGUCUGAAACUGCGAUUCUAGGGACUCGGAGGGGCCGGUGGAAUUCUUGGUGGAGCAGUGAAAUGCGUAGAUAUCAAGAGGAACACCAACGGCGAAGGCAGCCGGCUGGACGAGAUCCGACGCUCAGGCUCGAAAGUAUGGGGAGCAAAAAGGAUUAGAUACCCCCGUAGUCC